CAGUAGCCACGGUAAAACGGAGGGUGCAAGCGUUAUCCGGAUUUAUUGGGUUUAAAGGGUCCGUAGGCGGACUUAUAAGUCAGUGGUGAAAGCCUGUCGCUUAACGAUAGAACUGCCAUUGAUACUGUAAGUCUUGAGUAUAUUUGAGGUAGCUGGAAUAAGUAGUGUAGCGGUGAAAUGCAUAGAUAUUACUUAGAACACCAAUUGCGAAGGCAGGUUACCAAGAUAUAACUGACGCUGAGGGACGAAAGCGUGGGUAGCGAACAGGAUUAGAUACCCCGGUAGUCCCUGUCUCUUAUAC
rnacentral:rRNA from 1 species